UACGGAGGAUCCAAGCGUUAUCCGGAUUUAUUGGGUUUAAAGGGUGCGUAGGCGGAAUAGUAAGUCAGUGGUGAAAGCCUGUCGCUUAACGACAGAACUGCCAUUGAUACUGCUAAUCUUGAGUAUAAUUGAAGUGGGCGGAAUGUGUCGUGUAGCGGUGAAAUGCUUAGAUAUGACACAGAACACCGAUUGCGAAGGCAGCUCACUAAACUAUAACUGACGCUGAGGCACGAAAGCGUGGGGAGCAAACAGG
rnacentral:rRNA from 1 species